UUUUAUGCGCACGAAAAAUACCUUAUUGCUUAUUUAAAACGUGUGUUGAAUAUUAUUUGUUUUUUUUUUUGUAAACUACACUAAACAUUAGUUUAGUGUCGCAACACAGGUUAAAAAAGCAAAAAUCUGCAUACUGACACCAAUAAAGAAAUACUGUAUUGGAGAGCAACAUUUUAGCCAUUAAUGAAAGGAACACAAUUAGCUGCGAAUGGUAAACGAUUUUUAUACGAAUAAAUAUUUCUCGUUUUUAA